rnacentral:rRNA from 1 species
CCUACGGGUGGCAGCAGUGGGGAAUAUUGGGCAAUGGAGGAAACUCUGACCCAGCAACGCCGCGUGUAUGAUGAAGGUCUUCGGAUUGUAAAGUUCUUUUCUAAGGGAAGAAGAUAGUGACGGUACCUUAGGAAUCAGCCUCGGCUAACUACGUGCCAGCAGCCGCGGUAAUACGUGGGAGGCAAGCGUUAUCCGGAAUGACUGGGCGUAAAGGGUGCGUAGGUGGUUUGAUAAGUUGGUAGCGUAACUCCGAGGCUCAACCUCGGCACUACUACCAAAACUGUCGGACUUGAGGGCAGGAGGGGCGACUAGAAUUCCUAGUGGAGCGGUGGAAUGCGUAGAGAUUAGGAGGAACACCAGUGGCGAAGGCGAGUUGCUGGACGGUAACUGACACUGAGGCACGAAAGCGUGGGGAGCAAACAGGAUUAGAUACCCUGGUAGUC